rnacentral:rRNA from 1 species
GACAGGUGGUGCAUGGUUGUCGUCAGCUCGUGUCGUGAGAUGUUGGGUUAAGUCCCGCAACGAGCGCAACCCUUAUUGUUAGUUGCUACGCAAGAGCACUCUAGCGAGACUGCCGUUGACAAAACGGAGGAAGGUGGGGACGACGUCAAAUCAUCAUGCCCCUUAUGUCCUGGGCCACACACGUACUACAAUGGUGGUCAACAGAGGGAAGCAAUACCGCGAGGUGGAGCAAAUCCCUAAAAGCCAUCCCAGUUCGGAUCGCAGGCUGCAACCCGCCUGCGUGAAGUUGGAAUCGCUAGUAAUCGCGGAUCAGCAUGCCGCGGUGAAUACGUUCCCGGGCCUUGUACACACCGCCCGUCACACCAUGAGAGUCGGGAACACCCGAAGUCCGUAGCCUAACCGCAAGGGGGGCGCGGCCGAAGGUGGGUUCGAUAAUUGGGGUGAAGUCGUAACAAGGUAGCCGUUCGAGAACGAGCGGCUGGAUCACCUCCUUUCUAAGGAGA